GACGAACGCUGGCGGCGUGCUUAAUACAUGCAAGUCGAACGGAAAGGCCCUGCUUUUGUGGGGUGCUCGAGUGGCGAACGGGUGAGUAACACGUGAGUAACCUGCCCUUGACUUUGGGAUAACUUCAGGAAACUGGGGCUAAUACCGGAUAGGAGCUCCUGCUGCAUGGUGGGGGUUGGAAAGUUUCGGCGGUUGGGGAUGGACUCGCGGCUUAUCAGCUUGUUGGUGGGGUAGUGGCUUACCAAGGCUUUGACGGGUAGCCGGCCUGAGAGGGUGACCGGCCACAUUGGGACUGAGAUACGGACCAGACUCCUACGGGAGGCAGCAGUGGGGAAUAUUGCACAAUGGGCGGAAGCCUGAUGCAGCAACGCCGCGUGCGGGAUGACGGCCUUCGGGUUGUAAACCGCUUUCGCCUGUGACGAAGCGUGAGUGACGGUAAUGGGUAAAGAAGCACCGGCUAACUACGUG
rnacentral:rRNA from 1 species